rnacentral:lncRNA from 1 species
AUGGUCUUUCUGCUUCCCAGAAUCACAGAACCACAAAAUGGUCAAGGCGGGAAGGGGCCUCUGGACAUCUGCUCCAACCCCUGCUCAAGCAGGGACACCCAGAGCAGGCUGCCCAGGACCGCGUCCUGGUGGCUUUUAGAGAUCUCCAAGGAGGAGACCCCACAUGAAGGUCUCUCUGAGCAGCAGCAUGGCCUUCUGGUGAAUCAGCCACUCCUCAUAAUUUUCUUCCCUCUCCAGACUCCAGAAAAAUUGGAUGCAGGUGGCCCAGAGCACUCUAGUGGGUUUCAAGUAGGAGAGGAAAGGAUGUUGAGCAGUGGGGUGGCUCAUUUCUACUCUGUAGAGACAUGCCAGAGACAUUUGUCAGAGGAGGAGGACUCACAGGUUUACUGUCGGAUUCUCACCCAGCAAGGACUGUGUCGGAGUCGUUCCAGGACAAACAUCCUUGGUGGCCUGCAAGACACUGUUGAGAACCUGCAGCAGAGCCAUUCAGCCUCUGGAGUGUGCCAGCUUUCCCCUCUGGGACAUGAGGUUUCUGCUCAUACUGGACUGCGCUCCACAUGCUGCGUUUUUGCACAGGGCACAUUCCUGACAAACACGGUAAGCAGCAAACACCUUGGGACUGGGCGUCCAAAGCAAUUCACGUAUUGCUAUGUGCUUGGAUACACCAACCCUGUACCUAGGUGUGAGGUGCAAGUAGGAGUACCUCUUUUUCCCUGCUCCCAGUCAUAUCAUGUAACAUCAAAGCAAAAGUCGCUUAGCUUAAAAUCAUGGAAUCAACUAGGCUGGAAAAGACCUUCAAGAUCAUCAAGUCAAACCAUCAACCUGACCUAUCGAGUCCCAUCACUAAACUACGUCCCUAAGUGUCACAUCCACACACCUCUUAAACACCUCCGGGGAUGGUGACUCCACCUUUUCCCUGGGCAGCCUGUUGCUUGACCGUCCUCUCCAUGAAGAAAUUGUUCCUAAUACCCAUUCUGAGCCUCCCCAGUGCACUUGAGACUAUUUCUUCAUGUUCUGUCACUUGUCACCUGAGAAAAGAGACCAACACCCUCCUUGCUGCCGCCUCAUAGAAUCAUUGAAUCAUAAAGGUUGGAAAAGACCUCCAAGAUCAUCUGGUCCAACCAUCCCCUUACCACCUCCUUUCAGGUAGUUGUGGAGAGUGAUGAGGUCUCCACUCAGCCUCCUCCAUACUAAAUAACCCCAAUUCCCACAAUCAAUCUUCAUAUGUCUUGUCUUCUAGUCCUUUCACCAGCUUCAUUGCUCUUCUCUGCACACACUCAGGCAGCUCAGGAUCCUCCUUACAGCGAGGGGCCCAAAACCAAGCACAGCAUUCUAGGUACGAUCUCACCAGUGCCACGUACAAGGGGACAAUCCCUUCCCUAGUCCUGCUGAGCACACUAUUUCUGGUGCACACCAGGAUGCCUUUCUUGGCCACCUGUGCACACUGAUGGCUCAUGCUCAGCCAGCUGUAGACCUGCACCCCCGGGUCCUUUUCUGCAGCUUCAUCUUUUCUGGCUUUCCUCCUCAUUGAUCUUCUUUUCAGGGCAACUCCAUUUGCUUUUCCCAUAAAAUGAUGAACUUUUAUGCCACCAUAUUGACAUGUAAAAAUGUCCUCAACCAAUCAACGUCUUACUGGGCUGCUAUGGCCAUUCCUCCAUUUCCUCAUGGGAAACAGAGCCAACCCAAACUUUUACUUGUGCAGACACCACUGUCCUUCAUUAGUAUCAUAACGAGAGGCCCUCCCUCUUCCUCAGGACCUCCAGUAACAAAGAAGUCAAUGGCCAGCACUGGGUCUGGAGACAGGCAUAUGGAGAUUAACUCAACCCCGUCACGUCCCCGUAACAUCAGUGAUGCCUCUUCCAGAACUGCAGUUUCUCCUUUACCAAAGUCACUUCUUAUUUGCAGUGACUUGCUCAGCCCAGAGGAGCACCUAGCCACCUGGAGUCUCUUGGCUGUUUCCAGAGCUUAUUACUGGAUGCACAUUAGAAAUCGCCUAAUCUCCUCAAAAAACAAGAUCUAGGAUUAAUGUGAUGUGGGUUUAUUUUAGGCACCAUUCUUCCUCCUGAAGCCCUGGCCUGUAGGGACAGAAAUGAUGUAGAAAUCUUUUUGUUUUCAAUGAGCAUAUGCAUGCGUAGAGCCAAGUUUUCAAACAAAAUCAGCUUAAAAAUUCCAGGGUUUGAUUGUCUUCUUGGAACGUAAUUUGUCCCUGCAUAAUCACACCUUCCCAGAGAGUCUCAGCAGGUGGAUGUGUUCAGGCCUCCGCUGCCUCCAGGCUCUCUGUCCCCCUGCACUCUUGUCUCCGUGGGUCUCUACAUCCCAGGUUUCUCUGUGAAGGCCCGUGGUAACACACAAUUUACUGACUUGCAAGUAACCCAGAAAUUCAAAUAGCAUCCUCAGCAGUGGGGGGGAAGAAAAAAAAAAAAAAAGAACCAGCUUAUCUUCAACUUCUGUGAUAAAUCAAAAAUCACAAAAUUUAAUAAGAAAGCCUGUUAAAGCUUACUCCUUUGUAUUCACAAGUUUCUCUCCACAGAAACCUAUAAUAACUACAGCAGGUUUCUUUUCUGCUACAUAAACUUGGAAAACAAAAAUCAAAGAGUAGAUCUGCAGCACAGAAGAUGAAGGAUUUGCUUGUCAGAAGCCUGCCUACAUCCACAGCAGAUUUGUUAGCUGGGCACUCUGAGAACAGGCUUGGCUUAACACUGCAGUGUUACAGUACCAAGCUUGGUACCUGCCUCGGAAAUGCCAUUUCUCUGCUGCAAGCUCUGCCUUUCCACUUCAUGUAGAGAUGCUACCCAGAUGUGGGGUACUUAUUGCUUUCAGUGUCCUCUGCACUGCUUAGAUAUGACUUUCCGUGCCAUGUUUCAUUUAAUUGAUGAAUUAAAUUAUGAAUUAACAAUCUCUUUUAAUUUCUUCAUUGCAAGAACACCUUCCUGCCUCCUCAGACCACACCGCGUUUCUGAGCUGCCCAGAUGCCUUUUGGGACAGCACCACAGACAAGACAAUAAAUAAAUAACACAGAGGUGCCCA